GCUUCGGGCGUGUUCUGUGCUUGUCCGGCUGCGGUGCCUCCCGCGGCCGCCUGGCCCCGCCCCCACCACGUCCACCUCCAGAGACAGCGAGAGCAGGAGCACAAGCAGCGGGAGUGGGAGAGGGAGAAGCAGACUCCCCACCGAGCAGGGAGCCCGAUGCGGGGCUCGAUCCCAGGACCCUGGGAUCAUGACCCUAGCCGAAGGCAGACGCUCAACGACUGAGCCACCCAGGCGCCCCUCUUUGCUGGACUAUUAGGAAAUGGCUUAAAAUGUCUCUUAUUCUUCGGAGUAGGCGAGCCUGCAGGGGGAUGGAAGGCACGCGGUGGAACGGGACUCCCCGCCCUGCACCCCUCCGGCCGCCCCGACCCCGCCACAGGCUGCCGCCCGUCCCCGUUGCGGGCACAGCCUCCAAGCACACGGGCGAACAGCCGUCCUCGUGCCUGCCUUUUUUCACCCGACACACCGCCACCUUCCUCUUUCGACACGUCUGUGCCUCUGGUGGCUCCAUGGUCGUCGGUUCUGGUCCUCUGGUUAGGACUCCGAUGAUUUCUUUGUCCUGUCGUCAGGUGCCGGGCAGAGUUACCCUGUGUGGUGCCGGCCAACUGGGGGUAACCAUUUGCUUUUGCCUACCCGCCAGCACCGCUGUGGGACAGACACCUAGGAUGGGAGCUUCUGGGUCAAAAGACCUGCUGAUGCUCACAGCUGCCGCAGACCCUAACGUCGUAGCAGCUUCUCUCGCGCUUCGGUCGCCCUUGCGUCCUUGCCACACCGUGGUAACCAAGCACUUGAUGGGAGGUGUUUGCUAAGCUCUUCAGGGCACUGGGUUGUCCAAGAUCCCGGCCCCAGGUCUGGGCGGGCGCUGGUGUGCCCUGACCUCUCGCUUGCAUUGGGCCCAAGGAGAAGUUCUGCUGAGGGGUCUGCUCAUGGUGCUUAAUCGACUGAAAAUAAAAGUGGCAACAAUUAA